rnacentral:rRNA from 1 species
GGGCCCGCACAAGCGGUGGAGCAUGUGGUUUAAUUCGAUGAUACGCGAGGAACCUUACCAGGACUUAAAUGUAAGUUGCAUGAUUCAGAAAUGAAUCUUUCUUCGGACUACUUACAAGGUGCUGCAUGGUUGUCGUCAGCUCGUGCCGUGAGGUGUCAGGUUAAGUCCUAUAACGAGCGCAACCCCUAUCGUUAGUUGCCAUCAAGUAAAGUUGGGAACUCUAGCGAAACUGCCGGUGCAAACCGUGAGGAAGGUGGGGAUGACGUCAAAUCAUCACGGCCCUUACGUUCUGGGCUACACACGUGCUACAAUGGUAGUGACAGAGGGCAGCCACUGGGUGACCAGGAGCG